AUUGAACGCUGGCGGCGUGCUUAACACAUGCAAGUCGAUCGGUAACGCGGGGGCAACCCUGGCGACGAGAGGCGGACGGGUGAGGAACGCUUGGGAAUCUGCCCUUCAGCGGGGGACCACACGGGGAAAUUCGUGCUAAUACCGCAUACGCUCCACGGAGGAAAGCCGGGGACCGCAAGGCCUGGCACUGAAGGAUGAGCCCAAGCCGGAUUAGCUAGUUGGCGGGGUAACGGCCCACCAAGGCGACGAUCCGUAGCUGGUCUGAGAGGAUGAUCCGCCACACUGGGACUGAGACACGGCCCAGACUCCUACGGGAGGCAGCAGUGGGGAAUAUUGGACAAUGGGCGAAAGCCUGAUCCAGCCAUGCCGCGUGUGUGAAGAGGGCCUUUUGGUUGUAAAGCACUUUAAGCGAGGAGGAGGCUACUUGGAUUAAAACUCUAGGAUAGUGGACGUUACUCGCAGAAUAAGCACCGGCUAACUCUGUGCCAGCAGCCGCAGUAAAAC
rnacentral:rRNA from 1 species